rnacentral:rRNA from 1 species
ACGGAGGAUCCGAGCGUUAUCCGGAUUUAUUGGGUUUAAAGGGAGCGUAGGCGGAUGCUUAAGUCAGUUGUGAAAGUUUGCGGCUCAACCGUAAAAUUGCAGUUGAUACUGGGUGUCUUGAGUACAGUAGAGGCAGGCGGAAUUCGUGGUGUAGCGGUGAAAUGCUUAGAUAUCACGAAGAACUCCGAUUGCGAAGGCAGCUUGCUGGACUGUAACUGACGCUGAUGCUCGAAAGUGUGGGUAUCAAACAG